rnacentral:lncRNA from 1 species
CAGGAGUGGCUCAUGUUUCAAAACAUUUUUUCUGGAUAAAGUCCAACUACACAUGAAUACGCUGGUCGGCAAAUCUAAGCUACAAGCUACGCCGGCACAAAAGAGAGUUAGACAACAAUGAAUUAGAUGUUUUGAAGUAGUGCUAGUGAGGAAGCACAAAAAUCAUAUGUCAGCUUAGGUAUAUGCAUGGUUUUAAAUAGCUGCCAUAGUUUUGUUAUAGCUUUUCAUAUGAUGUGUCACUACUCUAUGGUCAAUUGUUCUGCUAUUACCAUUAAUGAUAUUUUAGCUGCACU